AGGAUGCUUCUCAUGGAUACAGAGUCUUUCACUGCAUACCACAUGUGCGACUCCUGCUAAAAGGUGGCCUAUUUGUUCAGUGGUGAAGGAGGCCGCGUUACAUGGAACAUUACCUCUAUCUGUUUCUGGCAGAUUGACUCCUCUGAAUUUUGAUCCCGUUUGGGGACAAUUGAUAUUGCCUCUGCUUUGACAUUUUGUCAGGGUGUGGUACUACUAUUCCAUCCAAAUAGCCAACUCUAGCCACAUCUUUGUGGCCUUUACAGCUACACUGUGUCAUCUGUUAGGCUUUCUGGAUCAUUUGCAAAGACCACAUAACAAUGGGCUAAUAGUCAAAGAAUUUAAUGGACAUUCCAUAUUCUCUGUCAUCUGCAGUAUUGUUGAGUGCUGGACUGGCAAUCUUAAAAAUCAACUAAGAAAAGUGUAUGCUUCUUUGUCCCUUACCUUUUCUUGGUCCACACACUUUAGUAAGGCAAUUUGGUCACUUACGGUGGCUGUUUCAAGAAGGAUUUAUUCCUCUUGGUCACUCCUGGUUUGUGAUCGGAACAGGAGUAGAGAGUUAUAUGGCGCUAUUUUGAAAACAAUGGGAUUCCAUCCUGGCCUUUUCUGGCUCAACUCAAAAGAAACAAUUGCCUGAUUGUGACCAGGUGACCUCAUUUCUCUCCUCAGUCAUCAGCAAGGGAGAAUAUAAAACAGGUGGACCUGUGAGUUUACACAAUUUUUAAACAGAGAUGGAGAACUGAGGUCAAGUAGAGUCAACAGUGAAAGUCUUCUGGAAAGGCGGUUAGACUUCCAAACAACACGGAGCAUUUGAGGAGCUUGAAGUGAAAAGAUUUCCCUGGAUUUACAGUGGGC
ensembl:lncRNA